CCUACGGGAGGCAGCAGUGAGGAAUAUUGGUCAAUGGGCGGGAGCCUGAACCAGCCAAGUCGCGUGAGGGACGACGGUCCUACGGAUUGUAAACCUCUUUUGUCGGGGAACAAAGGCGCCCACGUGUGGGCGGAUGAGUGUAACCCAAGAAAACACCUCGGCUAACUCCGUGCCAACAGCCGCGGUAAUAAGGAGGAUGCGAGCGUUAUCCGGAUUUUGUGGGUUUAAAGGGUGCGUAGGCGGGCUUUUAAGGCAGCGGUAAAAAUUCGGGGCUCAACCCCGUCCGGCCGUUGAAACUGGGGGCCUUGAGUGGACGAGAAGAAGGCGGAAUGCGUGGUGUAGCGGUGAAAUGCAUAGAUAUCACGCAGAACCCCGAUUGCGAAGGCAGCCUUCCGGCGCCCUACUGACGCUGAAGCACGAAAGUGCGGGGAUCGAACAGGAUUAGAUACCCGAGUAGUC
rnacentral:rRNA from 1 species